ACUCAGCUACAAAUUCUUAAAUAUCAUUGAUUAAGAUAAGAAUCAAAAUAAUAAUCAACAGUAUGCAUUCUAAAAGACACAUAACAAUCACCCUUACGCUAUUUCCCAAAAUCGAAUCUUUUACCAUAUUCAUUUCUUUCAUCAUUUUACCUUUCCUACCGGUGUUGUUUUGGGGGGUCCACAGGGGACCCACUACAUGUGGACACGAACAUUCAUUCUAAAAACAACGGUCGUCCUCAUACCCUGUCCAGUAAUGGGCGCCAAAACACACAAUCCCCUUAAUACCUCGUAUGAUGAACGUAAUUAAAAUAAUUCCCAACUCCUUCCGGUAUGAAACUUCUUAGUCUCGUACAACUGAGGAUAACAUUCAC
rnacentral:lncRNA from 1 species